CCUACGGGAGGCAGCAGUGAGGAAUAUUGGUCAAUGGACGAGAGUCUGAACCAGCCAAGUAGCGUGAAGGAUGACUGCCCUAUGGGUUGUAAACUUCUUUUAUAAAGGAAUAAAACGAGGCACGUGUGCCUUUUUGCAUGUACUUUAUGAAUAAGGAUCGGCUAACUCCGUGCCAGCAGCCGCGGUAAUACGGAGGAUCCGACCGUUAUCCGGAUGUAUUGGGUUUAAAUGGAGCGUAGAUGGGUUGUUAAGUCAGUUGUGAAAGUUUGCGGCUAAACCGUAAAAUUGCAAUUGAUACUGGCAGUCAUGAGUACAGUUGAGGUAGGCGGAAUUCGUGGUGUAGCGGUGAAAUGCUUAGAUAUCACGAAGAACCCCGAUUGCGAAGGCAGCUUACUAAACUGUGACUGACAUUGAUGCUCGAAAGUGUGGGGAUCAAACAGGAUUAGAUACCCUGGUAGUC
rnacentral:rRNA from 1 species